GCUCCGGUAGCUUAGUAGGUUGAGCGUCCGCCCCGGAUGCGGGAGGUCGUGGGUUCCAACCCCUGCCGAGUCA